GUUAAGGGAAAAGGAAAAGGUAGGGGACGAGGCGACGUCGACGGGACGACGAAGGGGAGGGGGAGGAGCGGCUCCGCGGAGUGCUCGCGGCGCUCCCUCCACCGAUCAUGCCGCUCCGCAGCGCGGUCGUGCUCGCGGCGCUCCAGUUUCCCGUCGUCGUCCGUUAUGCAGCUCCGCGUCGUUGGCGUGCCCGAGGCACUCAAGGUCCCGGCCUUCGUCGGUUAUGCCGCUCCGCCACGGACAGACCGCCGGCAUGCCGGAGGCGGCGCACGCGCUGGAACGAGGACGCGGAGGAUGGGCCCGACCUGGAGGGGGCACGCAGCAGGGGUGGGCGUAGUGGUUCGAAGGGUUGUCGCAGGCGCUGAGGCGCAGCGGAGGCUCCUACAGGUCCCUCGUCGUGUCCCUACCGCUUAAACCGACGAGACGAGACUACUACGGCAGUCUCGUGUUGAACGAGCAAAAGUCGUACUCCUUCUUCUACUAGAUUUACAAAACCUUCCUGAUUAGGUCACUCCUACCACCUGUUCUUUUAUAUCUUCCUUACACAUACAGUUUUGACUUCUUUUCGUCUGGUGGAACCACCGAGACAAGAGUGUUUCUUCUAACAAAUGACAAGGUGUGUUUUAGCCUAAAAACGGUCGUUGAGUAGGUGGAACCAGAGUAGAAAGCAACUGCUGCCUCGUAGUGCAUCGUCAUAGAGACGCUUUUAGGUAUCUUCAUAGCCUUGGCCGACACCUAUACCCUUUUUCUUUUAGGGAUUUUACGUAGAGACUUUGUUACCGUAAAAAAAUCACUUACUUGAUUCUUAUCGUCAAGUAAAUAUAAGACAUCCCCCUAUCGUCCACGGUGACAAGGUCUUACAUGAUUAAGAGACUUUUAACUAAACAAAGACAUCGUUCAACAGCAUACUUAAAGUUUUUC
rnacentral:rRNA from 1 species